UCCGGCCUCAUUGCCCCGGAACCAGGAUUUUCCUCCUGGACGAGGAAGACGCAAACAACUCUACGAGGUUUUUCUUCCCAGCAUUCUUCUUUGUUUUUAAUCUUUCAGUAUUUUCUUUUUUUAAGAGAUGAAGUCAACUUUCUGGAGGUUGAGGUGUCGGUCUCCAGAAUGUAGUCCCCGGAGGAACGCACGCUCUCGCGGCCUCAAGGGGUGGACAGAGUCUUGGCAAAGGGGGCCCUCGGAGGAUCUACGCCGUUAGCGGAGCUAAGUCCGCGGCUUCUAGGGCAGGAGGGGAGGAGCCUGGAAAGGCAGAGGAAACCGCUGGUUCAGACGCCGGUUCAACGACCGGCGUGGGACCCCCGAGUAGCUGGGGCGGGGUCACCAAGAGGAGACCCGGUGGGAGAGGGCGUGGCGAGCAGGUCGGGCGGGGACUUGUGGGCUCUCCUACUGGGGAGAAAGCGAGAGGCUCUGAGCGUGGGCCGCGGCGCGAGAGGGAGGUACCACGACUUAAUACUUCUGACUGGCCCGACGCGGGGGCGAGUGCAGAGAAGCGGAAAGGCCGGUGAGGAAAGGGGGAUUGCGUUCUCCCAGGAAAGAGAUAGUGAGCGCUUGGGCCCGGGGUUGUGGCAGUGCAGGGGGUGCGCAGUGGCCAGAUUCUGGUUGUAUUUUGAAAGUAGAGCCGCCGGCAUUUGCGGACAAUCGGGGAACAUAUGGGUGUGAAAGAGAAGAGUGGACGGUGACUCCAGCGGUUCUGGCCAGAGCUACUGGAAGGAAGGACACGGUUGUCAUAUUCUGAGUUGGGCGAGGACCAAGUUUGUCGAGGAGGCUGGAGGUGGAGGCGGAGCGAGAAUAAGUAUCCUGCAGUCUUCAAAGAAAGUGCCGGUUGUGAAAGACGGCGCAAAGGCAGAAGGGCACGGAACGAGAAUUGGCAACUAAAUGCAGCAAGGGAUUCCAGACUGGGUCCUGGGCCCGGAAAACAAAUCUCUCUAAAGGACGCUUUGGGAUAGCUGGAGAAAUCUGAACUUGGGAGUGUAGCUUAUAGUAUGGUGUUCAUGUCAAACUUCCAGAUGGCCAUGUUCCCAGGAAACACACACUUAAGUUUAUCUGGGGGGUGAAGGGACAUUGCAUGUGCAACCUACAAGUGGUUCAAUAAAGAAAAAUAUAUGG